rnacentral:rRNA from 1 species
UGGGGAAUAUUGCACAAUGGGCGCAAGCCUGAUGCAGCAACGCCGCGUGAACGAUGAAGGUCUUCGGAUCGUAAAGUUCUGUUGCAGGGGAAGAUAAUGACGGUACCCUGUGAGGAAGCCCCGGCUAACUACGUGCCAGCAGCCGCGGUAAUACGUAGGUGGCAAGCGUUGUCCGGAAUUAUUGGGCGUAAAGCGUGCGCAGGUGGUUUAGAAAGUCUGAUGUGAAAGCCCACGGCUCAACCGUGGAGGGUCAUUGGAAACUAAUAAACUUGAGUGCAGGAGAGAAAAGUGGAAUUCCUAGUGUAGCGGUGAAAUGCGUAGAGAUUAGGAGGAACACCGGUGGCGAAAGCGGCUUUUUGGCCUGCAACUGACACUGAGGCGCGAAAGCGUGGGGAGCAAACAGG